UUCUUUUAUGUGUUGUUUUUUUAAUGUUCUUUAUUUGUACUGAUUCUAAGUCUCGGAGUUGUUUCUUUUUUUUUUAGCGCUUGUAGCGCUGUUUGUUUGCGGGGAUGGCGUCUUUAGGGGCGCCGCCCCUCUCUUUAAGGAAUGGGAUUCGGAUUCAACCUGACCCGUCAAUCUCAGUUGAGACAGUUCUCCUGGCUGUAGGAGAUAUUGUCGGUCACAUCAAUUUAAUUUAUGCUUCAAGAAUGCAUAAGUGAUUUGUUUUUGUAUAUUUUUUUUUUUUUUAAAGAAGAGCGCUUUGUUACUCAGUUGACUGUCAGCGGGGUGACAAUAGGCGGAGAAUACCUGCAGGUGUCCCCGCUUGCAGUGCCCUCCACCCAGGUGGUUGUUUCGGGUGUACCGCCCUUCAUUCCGAAUAACUUGCUGGAGAAAUAACUCCAGUGUUUUGUAAAACUUGCCAGCGGUUUCAAAACUGUGGGUUUGGGAUGUAAGGAUGAUAAACUCUGCUUCACAAACGCUGGAAGUGUCUUUCAGAGUUAAAUAUGAGGAAGGAUCUUAUAUGGUUUACGCGAGCACCGGAAACAUGAAAUGUUUUGAGUGUGGGGAUAUCGGGCAUAAACGAGCCGCUUGCCCGCACAAAAACUCGACAAUGCCGGUUAAGAUGAAUCCAAAUGCAGAAGCGUCGCUGGCAGCUGGUGUUCUUCCGGCUGCGGAGGGGGCGGUGCCUCCCCCGUCAACUGUCUCUGAGGCUGGGGAGGGAAGCAGCGAUCUGGAUAUACAUCCUGUUAAGAAUGACCUUGAGAAAAUUGGAAUCAGUGUUCCACAAGAUUCCCCAAUCUGUGGCCAUCUUGACUCAGAAACAGAUCCUACGGCUAACUCGAACCCUGGUGCUGCCCGCAGGUGAGGGGGUAGCGGCCCAGCCUGCAGCUGAAGACGCACAGGGUACUCUGGCUUCCUCCAACUGGCCAAAAGCGUGACUGUUAGGUUAAUUGUUUUCUUUAACCUGCCUGAGUGUAUGCGUGGUUGUUUGUCCUGUGUGUCUCUGUGUUGCCCUGUGAUGGACUGGCGACGUGCCCAGGGUGGACCCCGCCUCUUGCUCACUGACUGCCAGAGAUAUGCACCAAACCCCCCCCUGAGACCAUGCAAGGACAGGCAGGUUUAGACAAUGGAUGAAUGUUCCAGAUACACACACAAGUAAAGACCUUUGGACUCCCACCGGCUUUCACCACCUGGAGUGUUUGAGCUUGGUUCAAGCUGCCGGCGGCCGAGUCAAACCCCUUCUCUUCCCCGCGAUGCAAAGCACUCCUGGCCGUGCAGCACAUCUGCUCUUCCUGUCCCUCAGAAUCACCCUUCUCCACAUGUGCAACUAGGGGUCAGAGAUCUCGGAUCGGUGCCGAAUGUUCUGAUUAACGGAAAUGAAAAGAACGAGCUGUUAUCAAUGCAGAAGAUACAGUGCCUUGCAGAGAUCUUGUCACCCUUUCAGCCUUUUCACAUUUUAUCACAUUACAACCAGACAUUUAGUGUAUUUUGUUGGGAUUUAUGUGAAAAAUCAAAAGUAGUGGAUAAACCGCUUUAAGGAAGAAAAAUGGCACAUGGUUUUGAAAAUACUUUACAAAUAGAAAUCUGAAAAGUGCAGCAUCAGGAUGUAAUCGUCCCAGUUUUAAGGUGAAACCCCUAAAUAAAAACCAGUGGAACCAUUUAAUCGGAAUAUAAAUGCAGCCGUUCCUAAGGGCCAAACAUUUCAGUCUGUGACCCCAAAAAUAAAAGUGCCAGAGUCUGGCGACCCCUUAAAAAUACGUAUAAUUACUUCCCUCUACAUUUAUUUAUUUAAUUAAUAUAUUUUUAGAUUGAAAUAAGUAUGUAUUUUUAAAUUAUUUAUUUUAAGUGAA